CCUACGGGAGGCAGCAGUGAGGAAUAUUGGUCAAUGGGCGAGAGCCUGAACCAGCCAAGUCGCGUGAAGGAUGACGGCCCUACGGGUUGUAAACUUCUUUUGUCAGGGAGCAAUUGAGUCCACGUGUGGGCUUAGCGAUAGUACCUGAAGAAAACGCAUCGGCUAACUCCGUGACAGCAGCCGCGGUAAUACGGAGGAUGCAAGCGUUAUUCGGAUUUAUUGGGUUUAAAGGGUGCGUAGGCGGAAGAUCAAGUCAGCGGUAAAAAUUCGGGGCUCAACCCCGUCGUGCCGUUGAUACUGAUGUUAUUGAGUGGGCGAGAAGUAUGCGGAAUGCGUGGUGUAGCGGUGAAAUGCAUAGAUAUCACGCAGAACUCCGAUUGCGAAGGCAGCAUACCGGCGCCCAACUGACGCUGAAGCACGAAAGCGUGGGUAUCGAACAGGAUUAGAUACCCUUGUAGUC
rnacentral:rRNA from 1 species